UCAGUCAAAUAUCACCGCUAUGACUUGGAAAAAUGGAUGCUACUUCGUCGAGCAAGCACGUUUCAUAAAUCAAUGAAUUCACUUUACGGGGUCUUUUUAGUGAAAAAUGUGAGUAGUUUUUUUUCUUAUCUGGAAUGCAACCAUUCAGCUGUCCACCCAUUUUCUGUCCUGCUUAUCCUGUGGCAUGGCACAUAUAAAGACAGACACGCAUUCACACCGUCGCUGGGGGGGAAACGGAACCCACACUGCCUGCAUGGACCCCAGGCCAAUGUACCACAACGCCAUGAGUGACUAUCUGGAAUGCAUUGACUGUAUUCCCAUUGGGUACUUUGAGAACACAUGACUCACUCUGCUGUUGUUCGAGAAGAUGGCCAGAGGAGAAAAGACCUCUCAGAUGCUCAGAUAUACAGCGGAAACUCAAAAGGCCUUGGAUCUGGACUGGGCUUAGCAUGAAGAUAACUGGAAGCUGGAGGGAGAGGGGCUGGGGGGCGUGGGGGUGGGGUCACCUCGCCCACUUGAAAGUCUUCCAGCUCCUGACAUAUAAAAGUGACUUUUGGAUAAACCUAAGGAGGAAAAUGGUCUGGUUGUGUUUCCUUGAAAAGAUUGUUUACCUCCCAGCUCGGAAAAGGCCAGACGACAGGAGCGAGCGUUGACGCCAUCUUGGUGGAAUGCGUGAGCCUGGAUGCUCUGACACACGAAAGCGCGCACCAUCUCACUGGAAUGACGUCUGGCAAAUCACGGCCAGGCCGUUUCACAACAUUUACUGGAAUCCG